rnacentral:piRNA from 1 species
UUUGAAAGAUGUUUCAUUAUC